UCUGUCUGAAAGGUGUCUGUCCCGCAGGUACACGAUCUUUAAGGACCACGUUUCUCUGGGCGACUAUGAAAUCCAUGAUGGGAUGAACCUGGAGCUUUAUUACCAAUAAAGCGGAACUCCUUCCCCGUGCCCGGUCCCCCCGCCCCUCUCCUCCCGCUCUCAGCCCCUGCCCUGGUAUGGAUGCUUGUUUUUAAAAAGUCAUGUUAAUAAAAACGUAGAACAGCU